UCGUGGUGAUGAUGUUCAUGUUCCUCAUGGUCGUGAUCAUGGUGAUGGUGCUCGUGCUCAUCAUGGUCGUGGUCAUGAUGAUGAUGUUCAUGCUCA
rnacentral:pre_miRNA from 1 species